rnacentral:lncRNA from 1 species
UCUCAGAUGCAAACAAAGUUCUCUUUAGGCAUGUUGUUUGAUCCGAGGUUUAGAAUGGAACUGUCCAAUGAUGAAAUCCGAGACCUGAUAAUCCUGCUUUAACCCUUAAUCCAAAUUUCCUUCCUCACCAUGGCAAGGACAAGAUGGUGUAGGGGCCAGCUAAAUCAGGGUUCUUUUUUGCAGAACAUCUUUCUAUGAGCAGCUUUGGCCAAGUGAUCUUCCCCUGCCAAUGCCAGCGAG